UACGGAAGGCAGCAGUGGGGAAUAUUGCACAAUGGGCGCAAGCCUGAUGCAGCCAUGCCGCGUGUAUGAAGAAGGCCUUCGGGUUGUAAAGUACUUUCAGUCGUGAGGAAGGUGUUAAGGUUAAUAACCUUAGCAAUUGACGUUAGCGACAGAAGAAGCACCGGCUAACUCCGUGCCAGCAGCCGCGGUAAUACGGAGGGUGCGAGCGUUAAUCGGAAUUACUGGGCGUAAAGGGCACGCAGGCGGUUAAUUAAGUUGGAUGUGAAAUCCCCGGGCUUAACCUGGGAAUGGCAUUCAAGACUGGUUAGCUAGAGUCUUGUAGAGGGGGUAGAAUUCCAUGUGUAGCGGUGAAAUGCGUAGAGAUGUGGAGGAAUACCGGUGGCGAAGGCGGCCCCUGGACAAAAGACUGACGCUCAUGUGCGAAAGCGUGGGGAGCAAACAGGGAUUAGAUACC
rnacentral:rRNA from 1 species